GCAUCAAGAGGACGCGAUUUUUCAACAUUCAUGUCCAGCUUUGCUCAGCGGUGGUUUGUGAGCGUGGAGGGCUAGGUUGUCAGUGAUGGAGUGUCCUUUGUGCUGGGGCUUGCUGGUCUAAUGUCAACUUUCUACAACUUUAACCUGCAAUACCAGGACUAUGCUGCAUGGUCGUUGGAGUUCAUUCAGAGAAUCUGCAUGGGGAUUAAUCCUGAGAGAGGAUCAAAGGCAUACAGUGGACAGGCACCCAGCAGAAAAACUGGAAAGAUGGUCCAGAAGAAACCACCAACAGUGAACCUGCAUGUCUGCACCCUAAUCAGGAAGCUCAACGACUUCAAGUGGGACUUUGUUUGAUCUUCUCUCAUAGCAUUGUAUUGUUUAGGUGCAGAUACCAUUUGUCAAUUAUCAAUGAACAAUAUAUGCCGAUAAAUACUGAUCGAUUUUGUGUUGUUUAGUUUAGUUAUUGCAGCUGAUAGAGCUGUAUUAUUGUAUUGGCCAG